ACCGCCUCAGGCAGCAGAACGCCUGCAGCAUGAGCUAGAAGAAGGAAAGGUCUACAUGAUGACUAAGUUCAACUGCAUUAAGUCAAAGCCUACCUUUAGGGCUGUUGAGAGCCUGUACAUGAUCUAGUUCACCAGGUUCAGUGAUACAGUGCUUCGCCCAGGCUUGUAGGCAGACUACCAAUUUUGUACCUAUAAUCUGGUCUCAUUUGAAGACAUUCCCAGGCCAGGUGGUCGUCCUGUCCGUUUUCUUGAUGUCAUUGGAAGGAUAACUGCUGUUUCUGAUGUGAUCCCUAUCCAAUCAUCACACCAGCCAGAACCAUCAAACACAAGGACGAAUCCUCACUGACUUACAAUGAGGGCCAGGAGCUAAGGCUGGUCCUCUGGGGUGACCGCGCAGUUGAAUUUGAAGCAGAGGCAGUGCACGCAAGGGACAAAAAGUAGGCUGUCAUUGCAAUUUUCGUGGGAACAUUGCCUAAGAUGAAUCAAGGUGUUAAAGGACUUAGCGGUAGUUCUGCCUGUCGCUGGUACAUCGAUGAGGAUCUGCCUGUUAUAAAUGACUUCCGCAACAGGCUUGGAACUAAUUUUACACCUAUUGAUGUCAAUGCUGCUAUUGAUGGAGGGUCGCUUCCUGCUCGUAUCUAUGAUGCUCCGGUCGAAAUGACUGUGUCAGAACUCCUUAAGCUCGACCCUUAUGAGAGCGGGCUAUGUUUAUUCUCUUCUCAUGCUUUCCAGAUGUUCCUUUUUACUUUUGUUGUUUAUGUACCCAAUACUGAAUGAUGUUGUUUACACAAGAAAAAAGGUUCAUCUGCACCGUUACAGUCCAAAGGCUUACUCCUGAUCAGUGCUAGUGGUUCUUCUCUUGCUCUUCCUACAGCAAGACCUCAACAAUGAUGGGAUCGCAGUACCGAUGCACUAAUCCUAGCUGCUCAGCUAAAGAAGCACAAGAAACAUACUGUGUUUCUGUCCUUACACGUGAUGAUGUGGAUGAGGCUGAGUUUGUUAUGUUUGAUAAGGUCGGAAAAGCAGCUAUGGGAAAGCCUCUUCUUACCUUGCUGAAGUUUAGGAACCCAGGGCUUGUAACCAUAGAAGAAAUUGCUCGCGUGCCAAUGGUUGACAGGAUUGCUCCACCGGAAGUUAAUCAGGUUGUUGGGCAGAAGUAUAAGCUCCUGGUGUCCAUUUCAAGGAGAAGCUUUUCAACCACUAGCCACUAGUUGUCAUUCCAAGUUGUAAAGAUUAUGGAAACCUACAAGCCUCAGUUAAGCUCAUCUGCUUUUGACUAUAUUCCUGGGACGUCCGGAGCAUCAUCUUCUACCUCACUAAUUGAUGGUCCAGCAACUUCUGCAAUGUUUACACCAAAUACGCCAAACAUCCAUCAAGUGCAACCUAGAAGCUCAUCAGGAAGCCUUGCUAUAGGCUAUCAGACACCUACAAGCGAGACGCGCACACCAACUUCAAAGCUCAGUGUCAAUCUCCUUCCAACUGCAUCCCCAGGCAAAUCGCCAUGCCCAACCGGUAGUGCCAGACGUGCCUUGUUUCCAGGUCUUGACAAUAAAGCAGCUCCACUAGAAGAGCCUAUGAAGAAGCUUGAUGAAACAGCAGAGGUGCACCAGGAGGAAUCUGAUGGCAAGGUCGAAGCUCCUUUAGUUGCUGUUGAGGAAAAGAAUGACAAGGAUGAGCAGAACCAGACGACCAAAAACAAAAGGAACCCUACUGCUAGAAAGGGGACUGGGACAGGAAAGAAAUCAAGGCAGUAACUACUCCCCGCUAGCUACGCAGAGAUAUAUUACCUAUAGAUUACCUAUGCUGUAAUGUUAGCUUCUCUGCGAUGACAUCAUGGGAGAAAGACGAUCGUCCAUGCAACUAGCCUCAUCCUCGACAGUGCUCCACCACAGUGCUCUUUGACCAGCUUCAAGACGAGCCCGUUGAUGCCUAUGCUACCUGCGUGAACUUUUGUGUAACUAAAUGCUCCUUAUUAAGCAGGUCUAAAACUAGAGUCUUUAGCUGCUCAAGUAGCAGUGUCAAAGCACGGCAAAACAAAAAACUCCCCUAUAUAAUCAAGUGAACUCUAGCCUAUUAUGUGUGUGCUGUUCGAUUAUGAUUUG